CCUACGGGAGGCAGCAGUGAGGAAUAUUGGUCAAUGGCCGGAAGGCUGAACCAGCCAAGCCGCGUGAAGGACGAAGGUUCCAAGCAUUGUAAACUUCUUUUGUCAAGGGACAAAAUCCGGCUCGAGAGCCUUACCGAGGGUACUUGACGAAAAAGCAUCGGCUAACUCCGUGCCAGCAGCCGCGGUAAUACGGAGGAUGCGAGCGUUAUCCGGAUUUAUUGGGGUUAAAGGGUGCGUGGGCGGGCAGUUAAGUUUGCGGUAAAAGCCCGGGGCUCAACCCCGGCGAGCCGUUGAAACUGGGAGUCUAGAGAUGGCGAGAGGUAGGCGGAAUGCGCAGUGUAGCGGUAAAAUGCUUAGAUAUUGAGCAGAACUCCGAUUGCGAAGGCAGCAUGCCGGCGGCGAUCUGACGCUGAGGCACGAAAGCGUGGGUAUCGAACAGGAUUAGAUACCCCUGUAGUC
rnacentral:rRNA from 1 species